rnacentral:rRNA from 1 species
CUCCUACGGGAGGCAGCAGUGGGGAAUUUUGGGCAAUGGGCGGAAGCCUGACCCAGCCACGCCGCGUGAGUGAUGAAGGCCUUCGGGUCGUAAAGCUCUGUGGGGAGGGACGAAUAAGCACGGUGCUAAUAUCACCGGGCCCUGACGGUACUUCCUUAGCCAAGCACCGGCUAACCAUGUGCCAGCAGCCACGUAAUAC